rnacentral:rRNA from 1 species
GAUGAACGCUGGCGGCGUGCCUAAUACAUGCAAGUCGAGCGAACAGACGAGGAGCUUGCUCCUUUGACGUUAGCGGCGGACGGGUGAGUAACACGUGGGUAACCUACCUAUAAGACUGGGAUAACUUCGGGAAACCGGAGCUAAUACCGGAUAAUAUUUCGAACCGCAUGGUUCGAUAGUGAAAGAUGGCUUUGCUAUCACUUAUAGAUGGACCUGCGCCGUAUUAGCUAGUUGGUAAGGUAACGGCUUACCAAGGCAACGAUACGUAGCCGACCUGAGAGGGUGAUCGGCCAAACUGGAACUGAGACACGGUCCAGACUCCUACGGGAGGCAGCAGUAGGGAAUCUUCCGCAAUGGGCGAAAGCCUGACGGAGCAACGCCGCGUGAGUGAUGAAGGUCUUCGGAUCGUAAAACUCUGUUAUUAGGGAAGAACAAACGUGUAAGUAACUGUGCACGUCUUGACGGUACCUAAUCAGAAAGCCACGGCUAACUACGUG